CUCUAGGCUAACUGUGAAAUCAGCCUCACGGAGAAAGGCCCUCAAGGUUGACAUGGAUGGGGUGUAAUCAAAGCAGAUUACCCUGACGAGACAGAGAAAAGAGAUGGAGGUCAAUGGAGGACGAGGAUUCACAGAUCGCAUUUAACACCUCUUAAAAUUCCUUUGAUUUGAGUCUGGAUUGGACGCGUAACCAGCCCCUUACAAGAGAACAAGUUCAUACUGGAAGAGUGGCCUGCUAACCCUUACGUUCGCGAAAAGGUCUUUAUUUUACAAGCAUACCUGUAGUUAGAGUUCAAGUUAAUCCCUUUUGCAUCGCCCAUGUCGAAAACAAGAGAUUCACCUGAAGAAAAGAAUGAAUAACACGUUUACGUUAAA